rnacentral:rRNA from 1 species
AGUCUGCGUGGAGCCAACCUUGAAAUACCACCCUUUAAUGUUUGAUGUUCUAACGUUGGCCCCUGACCGGGGUUGCGGACAGUGUCUGGUGGGUAGUUUGACUGGGGCGGUCUCCUCCCAAAGCGUAACGGAGGAGCACGAAGGUUAGCUAAUCCUGGUCGGACAUCAGGAGGUUAGUGCAAUGGCAUAAGCUAGCUUGACUGCGAGCGUGACGGCGCGAGCAGGUGCGAAAGCAGGUCAUAGUGAUCCGGUGGUUCUGAAUGGAAGGGCCAUCGCUCAACGGAUAAAAGGUACUCCGGGGAUAACAGGCUGAUACCGCCCAAGAGUUCAUAUCGACGGCGGUGUUUGGCACCUCGAUGUCGGCUCAUCACAUCCUGGGGCUGAAGUAGGUCCCAAGGGUAUGGCUGUUCGCCAUUUAAAGUGGUACGCGAGCUGGGUUUAGAACGUCGUGAGACAGUUCGGUCCCUAUCUGCCGUGGGCGCUGGAGAAUUGAGGGGGGCUGCUCCUAGUACGAGAGGACCGGAGUGGACGCAUCACUGGUGUUCGGGUUGUCAUGCCAAUGGCACUGCCCGGUAGCUAAAUGCGGAAGAGAUAAGUGCUGAAAGCAUCUAAGCACGAAACUUGCCCCG